CGAUUCGCCGCCGGGAAAGUGCAAAGAAGAAACCGAAGAGGAUCCGGAGAGGCUGGGAGACCGAAGAGGAAACCAAAGAGGAUCCGAAGAGGCUGGGAAACCGAAGACAAAACAGAAGAGGAUCUGAAGAGGCUAGGAAACCGAAGAGGAUCCGAAGAGACUGGAAAACCGAAGAGGAAACCGAAGAGGAGGUGGCUCUAAAAAACUGCACGACUAUCAACUCGCUACGGCGCUGCCCGCUGUCCCAUUCGUUUCAAUUGAGCUGUGUGGCUCAAAAAAGCUCAUUCCCCCAGGUGAUAAGAACUUUCGUGCGACAAUUCUCUCCAAGUCGGGAGGAUAUGUCCUCUGGUAAUGGAGGACUCGCCCAGGUCUCGUCCUGGACAGGAGAGGGGGAGGGAAUCUGACGGACAGACAGGGGGCGGGGUAGGGAAUCUGACGGACGGAGAGGGAGAGUGAAUCUUGUGCCUCAACUCGCUACGACGCUGCCAGGCAGCUGUGCCUCUCAUUUCAAUGGCGCUAUGGGAAAAGAGUUUCAGACAUUUCACUCGGAAGUUCUGCUUUUUUGGGGACAGGAGGUGACAUCCAGCCAGCUAUAACCAAUUGAGCUGUGGCUGGGAAAAAAGUGGACAUCAUUCGUGUCAAUGGAGCAAGAAACCUAGGUGGCUGUGAAAAUAAUUGCACACAUUGUACGUCUAUCAACUCGCCAUGAUGCUGCCUGCCAGAACCAUGGCAUGGGUUGUCCCAACUGUGCGACCGCACAAGGCCUCGUGUCACUGGUGGCCUUGCGCCAGCCUGGUUUGCAACCACAAAGGUUUUUUUGUGUUUUUUUUCUACUUUCAAUAUUUGUGUAUACCUGUUCUUGACUCGAUGUGCUAUAAAAUGAAAUAGAAAUGAGCUAGAAACCAACAGGUGGCCUUGCCUGGUUUGCAAUCACAAAGUGUAUUUAUUUUUUCUACUUUCAAUAUUUUUUUAUUCCUGUUCUUGACUCGAUGUGCUCUAAAAUGAAAUCGAAAUGAACAAGAAACUCUGGCUGGGAUAAAAUGCACACAGUGUUUGCCUUUAAAUCACUACGACGCUGCCCACUGUCCGAUUAGUUUCAAUUGAGCUGUGUGGCUGGGAAAAAGAGGACAUCAUUCGUGUCAAUGGAGCUGGAAACCUACAGGUAGGUGGCUGAGAAAAUAAUGUGUAGGCCUACGCCUAUCAACUUGCUACGACGCUGCCCACUGUCCGAUUAGUUUCAAUUGAGCUGUGACGCUGGGAAAACGUGGACAUCAUUCGUGUCAAUAGAGCAAGAAACCUAGGUUGCUGGGAAACGGUGUACACAGUGUACGCCUAUGGGUUGUCCCAACGUUUUUUCUACUUUCAAUAUCUUUUUAUUCCUGUUCCUGACUCGAUGUGCUAUAAAAUGAAAUAGAAAUGAGCUAGAAAUCACCAGGUGGCUGGGAAAAAGUGCACACAGUGUACGCCCAUCAAAUAGCUACGACGCUGCUCACUGUCCGAUUAGUUUCAAUUGAGCUGUGAGGCUGGGAAAAGGUGGACAUCGUUCGUGUCAAUAGAGCAAGAAACCUAGGUUGCUGGGAAACAGUGCACGCAAAUCUAUCAACUCGCCACAAUGCUGCCCGUCAGAACCGUGGCAUGGGUUGUUCCAACUGUGCGACCGCACAAGACCUCGCGUCACUGGUGGCCUCGCGCCUGCCUGAUUGCAAUCACAACGUUUUUUUGGUGCUUUUUUCUACUUUCAAUAUUUUUUCGUUCCUGUUUUUGACUCGAUCUGCUCAAAAAAGUGCACACAGUGUACGCCUAUCAACUCGCUACGACGCUUCCCAGUGUCCGAUUAGUUUCAAUUGAGCUGUGAGGCUGGGAAAAAACGGACAUCAUUCGUGUUUAUAGAGCAAGAAACCUAGGUUGCUGGGAAACGGUGAACACAGUGUACGCCUAUGGGUUGUCCCAACUUUUUUUCUACUUUCAAUAUCUUUUUAUUCCUGUUCCUGACUCGAUGUCCUCUAAAAUGAAAUAGAAAUUAGCUAGAAAACCAACAGGUGUCUUGCCUGGUUUGCAAUCACAACGUUUUUUUUUUCUUUCAAUUUUUGUUUAUUCCUGUUUUUGACUCGAUUAUCAACUCGCCAUGAUGCUGCCCGCCAGAACCGUGGCAUGGGUUGUUCCAACUGUGCGACCGCACAAGGCCUCGCGUCAGUGGUGGCCUCGCGCCUGCCUGGUUGCAAUCACAACGUUUUUUUGGUGCUUUUUUCUACUUUCAAUAUUUUUUCGUUCCUGUUUUUGACUCGAUGUGCUCUAAAAUGAAAUCGAAAUGAGCUAGAAACCACCAGGUGGCUGGGAAAAAGUGCACACAGUGUACGCCUAUCAACUCGCUACGACGCUUCCCAGUGUCCGAUUAGUUUCAAUUGAGCUGUGAGGCUUGGAAAAAGCGGACAUCAUUCGUGUCAAUAGAGCAAGAAACCUCGGUUGCUGGGAAACAGUGCACACAGUGUACGCCUAACAACUCUUCACAACGCUGUCCGCUGUCGCAUUUGUUUCAAAGGAGAAACAUAUUGUUUGAGGCGAGAGAGAGCCCCGACCUGCAGUAGGCUAGGUUGUGAUUGCAGUUUUCCUAAGCGAGCAAGUUCAGAGGUCCUCUUUCCUCGGUAGUUCGUACCAAAAAAUGGGAGGUGUUCCAAAGCUCCGAAAUUGUUCAGAUAACAAGGGGUAGAAGGGGACGCCAGUUUGCGAGCUGAGAGGAGGGAGCUGAGAGAGAGAGUGCGCGAGCUAAGAGGAGGGAGCUGAGAGAGUUUGAUCUCAUACAUUGCAUAAAGUCACUUCAAACAAUAAACGGGAUAAUAUGUGUAUGUACGAGUUAUGGUAGGCCCUACAGGAGAGAACCAAGCACUUGUGCGGGGUUUACAACAGGCUUGAGGCGCGUCUUCUGCGUUCGGAGCUGAAGUGGACGCCAUAUAUACAAACUUUGGUUGGACAAUUCAGCCGAGGUUGGAUAAAACAUUUUUUUGUUUUCAUGCAAAUAGCCUGCAUUUAUUUACUCAUCCGAAGCUUAACCCUCUAACAUAAAUGUUAAAAUUUGGAGGAGUAAUCCCCCAUUAGUGCAUAUGCAUAUGGUACUAUACAACCUUCUUUUUACAAUAAAGGAGUCAGAAAGUUUGUAUAUAUGAUUGCAACUACAAGAAUGUUAUACUGACAAAGAAAUAGCCACACCACAUUGUGCCGAUGCGUAAAUGGUAAGCUUUUUGCAAUUCUCUUCACGCAACAAUGUUUGCAUCAAUUCCGGAGGCCCAAUUUGAGGAAUAACUUGUGCGUAUUGGCAUGAGUUACUGGUAGCCUACUGGAGAUAUUUUCCACGGAAGCACAAUUUCUCUUUUAGAAUGUUUUAUUUUGUUAAUUUCAAUAGGCAGUAGGCUAGGCUGUGUGUGUUAUAUGCAAUGUUAUACGCGAUAUCAGAGGACCGAUCUCUCAUCGGUGGUCGGAGAUGAAUAAGACGGAUGUCAUGUAGUAGGCUAGCCUACAAACAAAUAAGAGGUAGGCUACUGCGCUUGGACAUCACAGCCAGCUAUGUCCGAAGGGCUCCAGUCCCAAGCCUUCCAACCUUGUAUAUAGGCCUACGCUUCCGGCUCACACCCAUUUCGGGUUGCCGCCAGGAUAGUGCCAACCAGACGCACUGUGUUCACACUGUGAUAUUUAGGCCAACUUUGUUGCUCACGGUUGAUCCAGGAUCCGAAGAGGAUUGUGCCAUGUAUUCAUUUGACCAUUAAUUUAAAUAGAAAUUAGUUUGAUUUUGGCGGAACGAGUUGCUGCGUCUGUAACAGUGUCAGCGAGAAAUAGCUUUCCAAAAUGAUCGGUUGAACAAGAUGUGGGUGCGUAACAGGAAUUGGACAACAAGCAAACAGGAGGCAACAUCGCAGCCAGCUAUGAUAACCAAUCCAAAGGGCUACUGUGAUCCGCCUUCCAGCCCAUUUCGGGUCGCCUCCGGGAGAGUGCCAGACUGUGUUCAUACUGCGAGUAUUUACUUCGUUGCUCGAUCCAGGACAGUGGACAGUGCUAUGCACUGCUGAUGGGGCUUCAUAAUUUGUAGUCCUAAACUACCUUAUUAGCCAAAUGUUCUAAAAUCAGUUUCCAACCAAAACGCAUCGCUCCAAAAUUCUGCUUGAUAAGGGUAGGCCUAUAACCAGGCGCGGAUUAAUGCACAGGCUUGCCUAGGCUGCAGCCUAGGGGCCCCACCUGUGCAGGGGGCCCCGGAUUGGCCGGAUUGUUUUUUAAUAUUUUAAAUGUACUUAAGCAAGAACAAAAUAAAGACCCCAAUUGGCACAUAAGAAACUUUUUCUUUUUUAAUAAGCAAAUCAUUGGGUAGAUAUGACUUGGGUCACAUCUGUCCAAUCAGCUGCUGCUGGUCAAAUCAUGUCAAUCAUUUACAUUGCUCACUGCUAUUGCUAGAUGGCAUAGUAUUAAAGUGGAGCAAAAAAACGCUAAAUAAAAAGGUCAAAAGAACAACAUGACCAAGAUAUCCUGAAACAAAUCCCGAGAUUGAAUGGAUACUUCAAGGCUGCUGAAUCUUCAUCCAGUCGAAGACAAGAUCAUCCACAGCAGGAGGACUGCCAGCUAGCAUCGGCCAUCGGUAAUAUUUCAGCGAAUUUGGGAAAGUUACUGGAAUUGGUACUAGUGUGUAGUAUUAGUACUUUUAAGGAUCUGAAUACUUCUUCCACCACUGAUGUUGUGAUUUUGCCUCAGUAAAACAUGGUGUUCUGCACUGAUGCAGAUGCUGUAGCCUACCUUUGGUUAAUAAAGCUAAAAGCGAUUAGUUUGCAGUUGAACUGUGAAUGCA